UACAGAGGGUGCGAGCGUUAAUCGGAAUUACUGGGCGUAAAGCGCGCGUAGGCGGUUGUGUAAGUUGGAGGUGAAAUCCCCGGGCUUAACCUGGGCACUGCCUUCAAAACUGCACGGCUAGAGUACGGGAGAGGGGGGUAGAAUUCCAGGUGUAGCGGUGAAAUGCGUAGAGAUCUGGAGGAAUACCGAUGGCGAAGGCAGCCCCCUGGCCUGAUACUGACGCUGAGGUGCGAAAGCAUGGGGAGCAAACAGG
rnacentral:rRNA from 1 species